GGCCUCUCUGCAGCUGUUAGCCAUUCCCAGGCUGGGAGAGAAGGUGAGCACAGAUAAGAGGUCUUUAUCUGGGCCCCAAAGGAAGGCAGGUUAAGUUUAAGGUGAAGGUUUGACAUGGCCGCCGUCUGCUUGCGCUGGCUGUUUCCUCCCACCUCCUCCACCUCCUGAUGUGAGGCUCAGGCUCAGUCCCCAAUCCCCAUGUCCCUGGGCUCAUUCUUGAUGGCCCCUACUGCUUCAGCUUUAAUGAGAAAGAUGAAAGAAAUGCAGGCUGGGAGAAUACCCAACCCUCCUCCCCUCAUCUCCUUCUACCACCCCAUUCACUUUGCUCCUCGUCCCAUUUGUUCAGUACAACCUCGCUCUCACUGGCCCUCCAGCAUUAACUCAUCUAAGACUUUUUACUGGGGUGGGGGAGUUUUACUGUGAUAAAUCAGUAACAAGGGUAGUUUCUUUUAAAAUUUCAGGUAUUAUUCCCUCUGAUCUUACGUGCAAAUUUCUUUCCAGCCUUUAUUUCUCGUGCCCUGGCUCUUUGGUUCUGCUGUGGACAUGUUUUAAUCAUAAAGCAAUGGAAAAGUGGCUCUACUACUUUUUAAUUUUUUUUUUAUUUUUGGUUACAAGAUCGUUUUUUGGGAUUUCAGGGUUUUCUAAAUGUCCCUACAUUAAAAAUAAUCAGUAUACUCUGGAAUUAAUAUAUAUAUAUAUAUAUUUAUUAAUGACAGAACAUGUUUUUUUAUUAAACCACUCCAUUUUUCCAUUUUCAAAAUCAAAGAUAAGAUCCAAAUCUAGAUCAAAUCAUCAGAGUUCACCACAGGUGAACUCACAGCAUGACCUUUACCUGAAAAGGAGCAUUAUCAGUGAUGAUCUUCAUGUGACUAACAUUAAAGAAGCCAGACUAAUGAUGAAAAGAGUCCUCAGUCUACUGUCGACAUUACUCUUUAUCUCUGAGUCCAGCGUUGCACCUAAAGCACUGAUUCUGAACAAUGUGGCUGUGUUGACAGCACCUAAACAACAGUUCAGCCCCAGAAGGCACAGAAAGAUCACACCUCAAAAGAUGGGUGUGUUGUCCAAAAUUAAAAAAAAAAAAAAAAAAGAUAAAAAUAAAAUAAUGUAUACAGUCUUUUUGCAGCUGGGUCCAGUGUGUUCACCAUCAGUUAGUGUAAUUC
ensembl:lncRNA